AUUGAACGCUGGCGGCAGGCCUAACACAUGCAAGUCGAGCGAGCGGCGGACGGGUGAGUAAUGUAUGGGGACUGCCCGAUAGAGGGGGCUAACUAAUGGAAACGGUAGCUCAUACCGCAUACUAUCGGAUAACCCAUAUGGGAUUAGCGAGUAGGUGAGGUAAUGGCUCACCUAGGCGACGCUCCCUAUCUGUUCUGAGAGGAUGAUCAGCCACACGGGGACGAGGACACUGCCCAGUUUCCUACGGAGGAGUCAGUGGGGAAUAUUGUACAAUGGGCGCAAGCCUGAUGCAGCCAUGCCGCGUGUAUGAAAAAGGCCCCAGGUUUGUAAAGUCCUUUCAGUCUGUAGUCGUUACCGACAGAAGAAGCACCGGCUAACUCCGUGCCAGCAGCCGCGGUAAUAC
rnacentral:rRNA from 1 species